rnacentral:rRNA from 1 species
CAGCAGCCACGGGAAUACGAAGGGGGCUAGCGUUGUUCGGAUUUACUGGGCGUAAAGCGCACGUAGGCGGAUCGAUCAGUCAGGGGUGAAAUCCUGGAGCUCAACUCCAGAACUGCCUUUGAUACUGUCGAUCUCGAGUCCGGAAGAGGUGAGUGGAACUCCUAGUGUAGAGGUGGAAUUCGUAGAUAUUAGGAAGAACACCAGUGGCGAAGGCGGCUCACUGGUCCGGUACUGACGCUGAGGUGCGAAAGCGUGGGGAGCAAACAGGAUUAGAUACCCCAGUAGUCCCUGUCUCUUAUAC